rnacentral:rRNA from 1 species
CCUGGUAGUCCACGCUGUAAACGAUGUCGAUUUGAAGGUUGUUCCCUUGAGGAGUGGCUUUCGGAGCUAACGCGUUAAAUCGACCGCCUGGGGAGUACGGCCGCAAGGUUAAAACUCAAAUGAAUUGACGGGGGCCCGCACAAGCGGUGGAGCAUGUGGUUUAAUUCGAUGCAACGCGAAGAACCUUACCUACUCUUGACAUCCAGAGAACUUAGCAGAGAUGCUUUGGCGCCUUCGGGAACUCUGAGACAGGUGCUGCAUGGCUGUCGUCAGCUCGUGUUGUGAAAUGUUGGGUUAAGUCCCGCAACGAGCGCAACCCUUAUCCUUUGUUGCCAGCGAUUCGGUCGGGAACUCAAAGGAGACUGCCGGUGAUAAACCGGAGGAAGGUGGGGAUGACGUCAAGUCAUCAUGGCCCUUACGAGUAGGGCUACACACGUGCUACAAUGGCGUAUACAAAGAGAAGCGACCUCGCGAGAGCAAGCGGAACUCAUAAAGUACGUCGUAGUCCGGAUUGGAGUCUGCAACUCGACUCCAUGAAGUCGGAAUCGCUAGUAAUCGUAGAUCAGAAUGCUACGGUGAAUACGUUCCCGGGCCUUGUACACACCGCCCGUCACACCAUGGGAGUGGGUUGCAAAAGAAGUAGGUAGCUUAACCUUCGGGAGGGCGCUUACCACUUUGUGAUUCAUGA